rnacentral:rRNA from 1 species
ACUCCUACGGGAGGCAGCAGUGAGGAAUAUUGCACAAUGGGGGAAACCCUGAUGCAGCGACGCAGCGUGCGGGAUGACGGCCUUCGGGUUGUAAACCGCUUUCAGCAGGGAAGAAGCGCAAGUGACGGUACCUGCAGAAGAAGUACCGGCUAACUACGUGCCAGCAGCCGCGGUAAUACGUAGGGUACGAGCGUUGUCCGGAAUUAUUGGGCGUAAAGAGCUCGUAGGUGGUUGGUCACGUCUGCUGUGGAAACGCAACGCUUAACGUUGCGCGUGCAGUGGGUACGGGCUGACUAGAGUGCAGUAGGGGAGUCUGGAAUUCCAGGUGUAGCGGUGAAAUGCGUAGAGAUCUGAAGGAAUACCAGUGGCGAAGGCGGCCCCUGGACAAAGACUGACGCUCAGAUGCGAAAGCGUGGGGAGCAAACAGGAUUAGAUACCCUGGUAGACUGUC